GACGAACGCUGGCGGCGUGCUUAACACAUGCAAGUCGAACGGAGUGGCGAACGGGUGAGUAACACGUGGGUGAUCUGCCUUGCACUUCGGGAUAAGCUUGGGAAACUGGGUCUAAUACCGGAUAGUGCAAGAUGAGCUCGCGGCCUAUCAGAUUGUUGGGGGGGUAAUGGCCGACCAAGGCGUCGACGGGUAGCCGGCCUGAGAGGGUGUACGGCGUCAUUGGGACUGCGAGACGGCGCAGACGCGUACGGGACGCAGCAGUGGGGAGUAUGGCGCAAUGGGGGGAAGCGUGAUGAAGCGACGCUGCGUGGGGGAUGAAGGCCUUCGGGUUGUAAACUCCUUUCGACAGGGACGCGGUACUCGUAUAAGAAGCACCGGCUAACUACGUGCCAGCAGCCGCGGUAAUAC
rnacentral:rRNA from 1 species